rnacentral:lncRNA from 10 species
AGGCUUCUCCAGACACGUGGAACUUCUGGCCAUCUUAACCUGGAUUCAUCCGCGCCUGAAGCCAAACACACCCUGGGCGUCCCAGGAAGGAGCAGGGUUUCCUGCACUCCCAGCUGAAGGACCGUCGCUCCUGGGUCUUCUCUCCACAAGCAAGCAAGGGAAGAGAAAAUGGCCCCAGGGCUCCAUGAGCGCCAGCCCGAAACAGCAGCGAUGGCAGGGCAUUGCUGCGUUGGUUUUCUCAUACCUGAAGAAGCAUUAACUCCUCCAGAAGCCUUUUGCAGAGAAGUCAAAGUACUUUUUUAAAAAGAAGAGGAGACAGGAAGACGGUCUUUAAAGUGAAACUCCUAAUCUAACCCUAUGAUAAGAAUGAAACCUAAUUUUCCUGUCCGCUGCUACCUGCUAGGUUACGUGCUGCAUUUUAACUCCUUGUAAUCCCCAGAAGGCAAAGGAUAUUAAAAUCAAUUUUUAAAAAUUGUAUUUGCAAAUCACUUCCUUCUCUCAAGUGUUUCGUCACCUCUGUGGUCCCUGAGCAAACACACAGACAGCCCCCAUGGUGAUGGCAAGUGCGCACUCUGAGCGCCGGGUGUUUAAGUCAAAUAUUGAUUCCGCCGCGUAUUAACAUGAAUGCCGCUUUGAG